ensembl:lncRNA novel transcript
AGCGACACCUCGUUUUCAUCUUUCCAUUGCAAAAAGGCAAAACCAGGACCAUGGCGUUGUGACAGAACCAUCUCGUGAGGGGCACCUUCUCUCACUUGCCCAGGGGUCCAAGUGUGUCAGGGCGGCUAGAUCGACCGCAAUAAAGAUGUGCCUCAGAAAGUUUCCCAGACUAUGAAUCCAGAGGAUGGUAAACGUUUAACCCAAAAACACCCCAGAGGAAGACAGGAAGACAUCCUCACCACUCCAGAGCUGCCUCGACCUCCCCGCAAAGGUGCCAUCACUCAACCAUGACAAAAAAACACUUGAAGCUCACACUACCCCCACCCCACUACCAUUUACGAAGGAUACGAGACUUCAAAAUGGAUUUCAAAGGCCCCUGUAAUUUUGGCAGCAUGACAUUUUAUGUCUUAUAAGCUAUUUUUAUUAGCCAGGAUUGAAGAAAAUUGACGUUUACCAGCCAUUAACCUUUCAAGCACAUAACUCUAUUUUUUUUGCUCCACAUGGAAGAGUAUCUUACACGUCUGUGCGGGUCAGUCCUUAAGUGUCCAGCACCUUUAAGGAAAAAGUCAUUGUGAAUCCUCUCUCUUCUCAAGAAAACAUAAGUUCUAUAAUUUUACGGACUCUUGAUCACAAUUUUAUAGCCUUCGGCCCAGCACUGGUAUUCCAUUUUUAUCUUAAAAUAUAAGAACUAGAUAAAACAAGUUAUAUAAUCCCUUCUUUGUAUCUGAGGGAAGAUGGAAAAGAAUAAGAUAACCUGAGAAGAAGCUGCAGGCUGCAGAAGGCCUAUCCUCAGAACAACUUACUUCUAAACCCCAUCAGUUCAUCGCUGCCCAAGCAUUAAAUAGGAUACGGCGUAAUCCAAUCAUACCAACACCUGAUUAAUAAAUAACGAUAGCCGGUAACUUACGUUCACUGCCGCCUCUCUCCCCCAUCAGCCUAACAGAGCUUUAAAUAAGCCAUUCUCCAUAAUUUAUUUAUUCAAUUUUUAAAGCCUGCCUUUUGCCAAAAGAUCUUGGGCCACACAUAAGAAAUGUAAAGACCAUUAGGGGAGAAAGUAUCUAAACAAAACCAUAAAACCCAUCAAAUCAAGCCACCUUCUGAUGGAAAAAUGACUGCCGCAAAGGUCGGCCGGCCCUCUCCACAUCUGGGGGCCAGAUUCUGGAGGAGAUUGGUCAGGGGAGCUUAAGGUCAUCGUCAACAGCCGGGGCCAUGUGGAAAUGAGUACCACUGGCUCUGGAGGUCCGGUCAUGCGUCGGGAACAUGGAGUUGCUAUCUGACAGUCUCCCCGCCGGGAGCCUCUGGAGCCUGGGGUUGGGAGAGCAACUCACCUUUCCCAAAUAUCAGCAGCCAGGCAGGUCACUUCACAGGGACCAGAAGAGGAGGAGGAGAGCAGGAGGGCAGCUCUGGCAGGACUGGGGUCUGCUUGGCGGAGCAGGGCCUGAUGUGUUUACAUUAAUAAAUAAGUAUAAUUAAUUAAAUAAAUAAUUAUAACUAAUAAAUAAUUAAUAAAUAAGAGCAAGCCAGCAAGCCUUGGUGUUUCCAGAGCCUGGUGCCUCCAUACACAGGGACACGGAUCACCCUGCUGGGUCUUCCAGGCCCUCAUGAGAUGGACCUGGCAUCUCCCUCCUAUGGAGGUAGGAAAGGUCACACAGGCCACAAAAUGGUCCAGUGUCACAGAGCUGAUGGCUAAGGAUUAGAAAUGUGGACUCUCCAGGCAACGGGGUAUACCAGGUCUCCAUGGGGGGCUGGUUCCAAGGUGAUACAGAGGAUGGGGUGGAGGGUUGGGCUCUGAAGGCUGCCCCCCAUCAAUCCUGGCUCCUCCAGGGCCACUAAGGUAGUGGCAGUGCCAAACUGUCCUAUGUCAGCACCCCAACUCUGUGAAAGGAGGGUUAGUAACAUGCCUCCUGCCUAGGGUGGUCAUGCAGAUGAACCCAGCUGGUACGGUGCAGCACCCGGCAUGGGGAGGGCUCCAUCAGUGGACCAGAACAACAGACAGUGGUGCUGUUAACCCCUCAAGUGGGGCCGAGCCCCAGGACCACCACAGGGCUUUCCAUGGGGUUCUGAUGCUCACCCAAGGUGUCUGCGCAACACUCCUCAUCACAUUUGCAGGAUGCAGGAGUCAAACACCAGCGGCUGUCCCCACCCACAAAUCGUCCAGAGCCUUGGUAAUAUCCCAUUGUCUUAAUCCAUUGGUGUUGCUAUAAAGGAACACCUGAGGCUGAGUAAGUGACACAGAAAAGAGGUUUAUUUGGCGCAUGGUUCUGCAGGCUGUACAGGAAGUAUGGCACUGGCAUCUGCUUCUGGGGAGGCCUCAGGAAGCUUCCACUCAUGGCAGAAGGCAAAGGGCAGCCCAUGUGUUGAGAUCACAUGGCAAGAAUGGAAGCAAGAGCAAUGAGAGGGAGGUGCCAGGCUCUUUCUAUAAGGAUGAGCUCUCCCAGGAACUAACAGAGUGGGAACUCACUCAUUACCACAAGGGCAGCACCAAACCACUCAUGAACACUCACCAGGCCCACCUCCAACAGCUGGGAUCACAUUUCAACAAGAGAUUUGGAAGGGACAAAUACUCAAACCAUAGCACCCCCUGAAGAAAACAAGAAGACAGGAGAAAAGGUAUCUUCCUCUUUCAAGUUCUCGCUGAUGCAAGCCAACCCGGCAUCAGGAAAAAGCAAUUCAGCCCACUGACCUGUUGGCCUGGGCCUCCCCGUGUGCAGGUCCCACUCGGCUCCCACUGCCUGGCUUUGCCUCCUGGUUCUGGCUGAGAUGCUCCGAGACAUGAGCAGGACAAGGUCAAGCGCAGCCAGAGGUGCCUUCUCCUCUCCUCGGCCUGGAGCCCCUCCUCGGGAUCCAUGCUGGAGAGGUGGGUGGACCCGAGAUGCUCUGGCAUCCAGCUACAUGCCACCCCCUGGGCCAGCCAGGCCCGCUCCCAUUCCAGGCACUGGCUCUCCAGCUGCCCAACACAGAAAGAGAGAUGGGAGGGCAGGCUGUGUGUCCCACAGCCACACAUGUCGGAAGAAGACCCUUAGGGGUACAAAGAGCAUUCCCCUGUCAAGUACAGGCCCAGACCCACGUCUGCAAUCAGCCCGCUGCAACACAGGCUGCAAGAGGGACACGGAUCUGCCCUGAAGCCAGACUCAGCAGCCGCUUUCCUGAGCUGUGUGCGAACCCUCAGCCAGGCUGCAGACACACAGCUGCUGGAAACACAGGACAGGAGACUCCUGCAGCCAGAAAUAAAAUAUUUUUGCAUUUCCACAGUAAAGCGGUUUUGGGCAGAGAAGAGGCAUGUUCUAAAAACGCCAGAGAGUGCCCAGCUCCUCUCUGCAUCCCUCCACAUCUCAUCAGCAGAGGGAGUGUGCCUCUCCUCUCUGUCUCUGUUGAACGAUCCAUUCCCCAACGCAGACCUUUAGAUUAACAAAAUAUUUACAGUAUAUCUAUGUGAUAUUAUCUGAGCUAUAAUCCUUGUUAAGAUUCCAUUUGAUAGAGGAAGAUAAUGGGUGGAGAACAAAUGUUCCAUAUACAUUUUAAUUCCAAUGAAAUUGUUCCAUGUCAUGCUUUACAAUAUAAAAUACC